rnacentral:rRNA from 1 species
AACGUAGGAGACGAACGUUAUCCGGAGUUACUGGGCGUAAAGGGCGUGUAGGCGGUUUGUUUAAGUCUGGCGUGAAAGCUCUCGGCUAAACCGGGAGAGGUCGUUGGAUAACUGGCGAACUAGAGGAUGGUAGAGGCGUGUGGAAUUCCGGGUGUAGUGGUGAAAUGCGUAGAGAUCCGGAGGAACACCAGUGGCGAAGGCGACACGCUGGCCAUACCGUGACGCUAAGCGCGACAGCAUGGGGAGCAAACAGG